rnacentral:lncRNA from 1 species
AAAAAAACUCCUGUGGCUAGCUUGGUCUCUGCCCAAAGGGCCGCCUAGUUUUGUGCUGGGAACCCAGGGCCUUGGUGGUGUAGGCACAAGAAGGAAUAUCCUGUUCUGCAAGUUGCAAGGACCGUGGGGAAAGUGCAGUAUCUGGGCUGGAGUGCACGGUACAGUCCCUAAUGGCUUUCCCUGGCUGGGAGACUGAGCUCCCCAACCGCUUGCACUUCUCAGGGGUCACAGUAUACAAAGGGAAUAUUGAGUGAGACAAGUGGGAAGAGAAGACAAAGAAAGAAGGGACCAGACAUGGCUAGACGAAGAGGCUGGGGCAAUCAAGGAAGAUUUAAGAAAACUGAAGCAGAGAUUAAUACUCCACUGAUCCACUAAUUCCACGUUCCCAGAAACGGAAUGGGCCAAAUGACAAACCCUUUUGGCUAGUUUUCUUUUCAAAAUAAUCGGUUUCAAUAAAUACUGCAAUGUUGGUCUGCCCUUCCAAAACUCAGCUUUGCAGAAUCAUUCUACUAUAAUUUGAACUGCCGCACUCACUGUCUGGGUGGCUCACGAUCCAAGUCUCCCUCAGAGGAACUGGUGCAGUCAGAAGGUGACAACACAGUGGUUUACAGAUAACAGCUAAAUCUUCACUCUCAAUACACAGCACACAUAGGAGAACCCAAUAUGUAUUUUAAAUUGUAACUUCUUUUGUCCUGGUUAAUACAUAUUAAAACUUCUGGAUACAAGCAUUCCUUAACAGUCAGAGUCGAUAUUAUACAUUACUUUGUACUUUUACUGUACAAGCGUAAAACAUACAUCCAUGGUUAUAAGCAGCUGGUUGGUUCCCUUAGUUAAAACAUGCAAGUUUUGAUUCCUAUCAAUGUUAGCUAGCUUUCCUCUCUUAGUGGCUGAAAAUUCCUGAGCCCCUAAAUGACAUUUCAGAAAUGUGUGCCAGGAGUUACUAGGAGCUACUGGGAGUAGCGGCAGAGAUUGUACAGGCAAGAGCUAGUGUGAUGCAGGGACACUGUGCAAGUCGGGGCAGCUCUGGGUUGCGUCCUGCUUCUGACAGCUACUAACUGGUGGGUCAAGA